GACGAACGCUGGCGGCGUGCCUAAUACAUGCAAGUCGAACGAGUGGCGGACGGGAGAGGAAUAAAUCGGAAUCUAGUCUGUCGUGGGGGAUAACGGAGGGAAACUUAAGCUAAUACAGCUUACGAGUGACUGAGCAGAUGUCGGAUUAGAUAGUUGGCGGGGUAAAGGCACACCAAGGCGACGAUCCGUAGCUGGUAUGAGAUGAUGAUCAGCCACACUGGAACUGAGACACUGUCCAGACUCCUACGGGAGGCAGCAGUGGUGAAUAUUGGACAAUGGGCGCAAGCCUGAUCCAGCCAUACCGCGUGGUUGAAGAAGUCCUUCGGGUUGUAAAGCCCUUUUGUUGGGAAAGCGGUACCCAAAGAAUAAGCACCGGCUAACUUCGUGCCAGCCGCCGCGGUAAUAC
rnacentral:rRNA from 1 species